rnacentral:rRNA from 1 species
ACGGCUUGAGUGCAGUUGAGGCAGGCGGAAUUCGUGGUGUAGCGGUGAAAUGCUUAGAUAUCACGAAGAACCCCGAUUGCGAAGGCAGCCUGCUAAGCUGCAACUGACGUUGAUGCUCGAAAGUGUGGGUAUCAAACAGGAUUAGAUACCCUGGUAGUCCACACGGUAAACGAUGGAUACUCGCUGUUGGCGAUAUACUGUCAGCGGCCAAGUGAAAACGUUAAGUAUCCCACCUGGGGAGUACGCCGGCAACGGUGAAACUCAAAGGAAUUGACGGGGGCCCGCACAAGCGGAGGAACAUGUGGUUUAAUUCGAUGAUACGCGAGGAACCUUACCCGGGCUUGAACUGCACCCGAAUUUACCGGAGACGGUAAAGCCGCAAGGCGGGUGUGGAGGUGCUGCAUGGUUGUCGUCAGCUCGUGCCGUGAGGUGUCGGCUUAAGUGCCAUAACGAGCGCAACCCUUUCCGCCGGUUACUAACAGGUUAUGCUGAGGACUCCGACGGCACUGCCAUCGUAAGAUGUGAGGAAGGUGGGGAUGACGUCAAAUCAGCACGGCCCUUACGUCCGGGGCUACACACGUGUUACAAUGGGGGGUACAGAAGGCAGCGACCGGGCGACCGGAAGCGAAUCCCUAAAGCCCCUCUCAGUUCGGACUGGAGUCUGCAACCCGACUCCACGAAGCUGGAUUCGCUAGUAAUCGCGCAUCAGCCACGGCGCGGUGAAUACGUUCCCGGGCCUUGUACACACCGCCCGUCAAGCCAUGAAAGCCGGNNNNNNNNNAAGUGCGUAACCGCGAGGAGCGCCCUAGGGUAAAACCGGUAAUUGGGAAUAGGUCGUAACAAGGUAACCA